UAUCACUGAUAUUGAUGAUUAAUAAGGACAUGAGCAUUUUACUCACCCAUGAGGGGCAAUACAUAAGACAGUAAAUCUUUAAAUUGUCUGUUCCUGCAAGACCAUACAAGGACAGUAAAUUCUUCAGUUUAUUCAGCAUUGAAUAACCACCUCUUUUUCAAAUCUAUCAAACCGAUUACAGAAGUUAUAGACGAUGGUCAUCGGCUUCAACCCUAAAAGCUGUGACCCAUUGCAGAGCCAAAGCAGAGUUACCUGGGCACAGAUGGGACCCAUCUGCUCUUCUGCAGGGAUGCCAUGUAACAGAUUUCAACAAACCAAUCAGGAGGCAAUGGUUUUUGGUGUUGCCAGGCAACCAGAAGGCACUGGAAAUAUACUUUCCUACUCAAACUCUUACACCUGGGGGGUGGUAGUGAGGAUACACUGAAAGUUGGUUUUAGAAACUCCUGCCAUGCAUCUCUUCAGUGCAAAGUGAAGGAACAGCAGGGUCAGGAAGUGAAGCGGAAAGAUCAUGUGAUGAGGGUAAGGGUGUGUGGCAUGAGGUUCCCAUCUAACGUCUGGUCUUCAGGACAUCCAUCAGUGAUGGCCUGAAUCAUUCCAUAGAAAACAACAGUGCACACUGCACUGUCAGAUGCAGCACAUGCACAUACUGCACUGUCAGGGGUAUA